rnacentral:misc_RNA from 1 species
AAUUAGUCAGUAUACUUAUCACAGGGUAUCUUGGUGGUGGUGUAGCGUGAGUUUCUUUACAUUGCUGUAUGUCUACACAAGGUGUGCACAGGCGUGUGUUUGCAUACGUUUUGAGCGACUGCACGGCCACGACAACCUGCUAGUAUCAGCCAAGUGGCCUACAGUGACGUCACACAUUGAGAAAUGGAAGUGUGUGCAAGUACAUAAUGUGCAUUAAGGUUCCCCGUCCACCCACACAUUCAGGCAUGCACACCUAUCCCCUACAUGUUUUGACAGUUUCGGGCACAUUUUUUGCAGUGCUGUGUUGUCCGGCUGUUAUCGCGUAUCGCCCUCGGCGUCGCCAGGUGCACGCUCGACACCGCUCGCACAGCCGCCACGAACACACACCCACUCGCUCAGCCACGCAGAAAAGAAAAGCAAGGCCGGCCAGUAGUCUCGACGUGCUCAUUGCACAGCUGGGGAGGCGGAACAGGUUCCAGUUCCUGAUGCUGGCGAUGUUGGCGACCAACUACAUUCCCUUAGUGUUCAACCAUGUCAUCAUGGCCUUCUAUGGCACCUCCCCCACUCACCUUUGUCACAUCACGUCUGCUGCUGCACCAGACAACGACACAAUGCAGGGUCACAACGACAGCAGAAACAUCACAUACAACAAUAUGACGGUGCUGGCGGAAACGCCGGUUGGCACGUGCAGCUCGCGCCUCUUUCUGGCGUCAGGCGACAACGUCACAGUCACGUGUCAACAUGGGCGAGACAGGUGGGAGUACAUGGCCAUGUACGGAGAACACACCAUAGUGUCAGAGUGGGAUCUGGUUUGUGAGCGAAAGUCCCUCGGGAGCUUGGCCACCACUAUCUACUUCUGCGGCGUCAUGCUGGGCGGCAUCCUGUUUGGUCACGUGGCUGACCACGUGGGCAGAUUGCCCGUGAUGCUGGGCACGCUGUACACCUCAGUGGCUGUGGGGGUGGGGCUGGCCUUUGUACCCACCUACCCAAUCUUCGCCGUCCUCCGAUUCGUGCAAGGAGUGCUGAUGCAGGGCCUGCAGACGUCCACCUACAUUGCUGCCAUGGAGAUGUUUGUUCCACGCCAGCGGCCAGCUGUGGGGGCGACCAUGGAAUGCACUUGGGGCGCCGCUGUCAUGGUGCUGCCCGGUCUGGCCCGCCUGCUGCGCAACUGGCGCCACCUUCAGCUGGUCAUCAGCGUGCCCAGCGCCCUCGUCGUCUUCUACAUCUGCGUGCUGCCGGAGUCCCUGCGCUGGCUGGUCCUCAAUGGCCGCCUCGACAAGGCCGAAGCGCUGGCCCGGCAUGUGGCCAAGGUCAACAAGAUCCCCUUCCCCAAAGACGUCUGGCAGUUGGUGGAGAGGGAGGCUGCCACAGCAGCGGCAUCCCCCCGAAGCAGGUACAACAUUUGGCACCUGGUGCGCACACCUCACCUACGUCGGCGUUCACUCGUCCUCUUCUACCUUUGGCUGUCCAUCUCGACAGGUUACUAUGGCCUGACAUUUCAAGUCACAUCGCUGCCUGGCAACAUGUACCUGAAUUUCUUCAUCGGAGGACUAGUGGAGUUCAUAGCUUAUGCUGCCUCUGUGUUAAUCAUGAACAGAUUCGGACGAAAGCGUCCCCUGUUGGUCUAUUUUUUCUCAGCUGCUGCGUGCUGCAUCAGUGCCUCUGCCAUUCCACGCAGGACAACAAGUAGUGGUGUCAAACUAGAGGAUGUGUCUACUGCCCUUGCUAUCACUGGUCGCUUCUUUACCGCUGGCCUCUUCUCUGUCAUCUUCGUGUACACAACUGAGUUGUACCCAACAGUCAUAAGAAACAUCGGAAUGGGAACAUGUACAUUCUGGGCACGCCUUGGCGGAGUCAUUGCCCCCCAGAUUAACCAGCUGAUGCUGUUAUCAUCAGGGGACUGGGUCAGAGGUCAAGGUGCCUGUCAUGUUCUUUGGCUGCAUGGUGCUUGUUGGUGGUGGACUGCUCCUUCUCCUACCUGACACUCACAAUCAACAGCUUCCAGACACUGUCCAGGAUGUUGAGAACAGCCACUACAAUGAAACCUUGCACAAACAGACCAGCAGUUCCAGAUUCAACGAACCAAGCAUGAGCUCAGAACCACAGGAGAGUGACAUGGACACACAUUCCAUUCAGCAAGAGAAUAUUACAACAAAACUGUAAUGCAUUUUCCAUUGAC